UUCGAACCAGCGAAACACUGGGCCGCCUGCAGCGGGGUGCGCGAACUUAACCACUCGGCCACGGGGCCAGCCCCUUAAGUUGUAUCCAGCGCCUACCACGUGCUGCUGUCAGCCCUCUGGUUAUCAGGGAGGAAUGGGAUCAGGAACCUGCCUUCCAAAUGUUUGAACCCUUGGAGAGAAGAGAAGAUGAGCAAAAAUUACUAAGGCAAUGGAAAACAGUCACCCCUCCUGAUACGUAUAAUCAUUGUGUGCAUAUUUUGAAAAAUCCUGGUUAUUUCAAAAAUCAAAAGUAUCUAAACUGCUUCCCAACCACUAUAUCAUCAAGAGCUUUUAUUUUCUCAGGGUGGAAUUUGCUUCAUGCG
rnacentral:lncRNA from 1 species